GCCCUGGAGGUGCAACAGUUAAGCACUUGGUUGACAACCAAAAGGUUGGAGGUUUAAACCCACCCCGUGGCU
rnacentral:tRNA from 1 species